GUGAUGGCGGCGGGGGAGGGAGAGCCCUGUCGUGGCCGUGGGGGCAGGCUCGGACCGCCCGCGCCACCCAGGCCCCGCCGCCCGCGUCAACAAACGGAGGGUUUUGUUUACGGAGCGCUCGCGGCGCCCGGGGCGGCGAGACCGCGGGUACUCCUACGCUGUCCGAACAACACCCUGUGUUCCUCCCGGCCCCGCACCUCCGGCACUCAGCAAUGACAAAAUGUGGUAAAAAUGUAGAAAACAACACCCCCUUCUCGCUCAAAAAGAAAAUUUACAAGCAGAGGUGGCGAAGCAGGGAGCGCUGCUACACUGACCGAACAACAGGCUGUGCUCCCUCCAGCACUAAACAAAGCCGAAAAUGCGGUGAAAACUCACUGAAACACCCAGAGGAAAAAUCUAAACGGGCAAAAAAAAAAGCAGAGGAGGCUUUUGAAGCCCUGAAACAAGUGCGCCUACGCUGACAGAACAACAGGCUGUGCUCCCUCCAGCCCUGCGCAUCGAGCACUCGACAAAGGCGAAAUAUGAGUGGAGGAAAAUUCCUGGCUGGCAGCUGUGUUCCUGACAUGAAGCCAAGCACUUACCUGCUGCAGGCAAGCCAGUGAUGAAGAACACAUGCACUGUGUCACAUCACAAAGCGUAACUGGAAGGAAAGGCAGGCUGAAUUCUGCAUGGGGACAAAACCCAUCUCCUCUCUGCCUCUCAAAUGUUGAAAAGCUGAUGAUGCACUUCUUAAAGAAAAUUCUGCCUGAAUGUAACACCAAGAGCUGAGGUCAAGAGCCACUCAGUCACUGGAGAAAAACAAAGGAAACAGAGGAAUCAUUUAAUAAAAUCCCUUAGAAGAAUGAAUGCACUUGAGCAGAACCAUCUCUAACGUGCACCACCUGCAUAUUUGGCAGAACUGAAGCAGCAGAUGCAGAUUUUUCUUUUUCCCCCAGCAACUAUUGCUGUUCAGUGCUGCCCUACCAUCACCACUUUUUGUUUUAACACGACACAGUAUCUGUGCAUGCUCAAUAUGAAUUUUGGUCCACAGGCAAGGCAGACUAAAGACACAGAGUCCAUCUGGCUGCCCACAGACAGAGUUCUCUCUUCUGCAUCCUUUUUGCACUUGAAAAAAGUGGAAAUUUUUAAUCAUUGGCUUAAGUAGGAGUUCAGAUUUAUGGAUUAAAAGCCUAUAAGGAAUUAAAUUGCUUUGCUAGUCUAAGAAAAUAACAGAUGCUGAUGCAAGGAGUGGAAAUACCAGGAGUUUCUUGUGAUAUCCCCUAUGCAGUUUGCAAGGAAUAUUUAACCUGAGCAUGGAAAAUUCCAUUUAAAUUGUAGUCCUCACACAAGCAAAGCUUUGCUUUUGAAUGAGACCAAAAGAAUCAGAUCCUCUAAUCAAAAUCUCUCUAGUGCCACAAUCUACUUUGUGUUCUUGCAUGGAUUUCUUUGGACAAAUGCAAUAGAAAUGUGGGUAUGGAUGGGUCAUGCAGGGAAACUCCACUCACUUCCACUAUUUUCUGUGAAAAGCACACCAUAAGAGAGAAGCUGGGAAGCUACAGUGAUAUUAAUAAUUUCUUGUAAGAAAAAAAAAAGAAUGACAUUUUCCUUAUUCCUGUCUUGGUCCAACACUGUCAGUGAUCCUUUUGUCUCUGUAUCCCACACAGACUGCCAUCUCAUCAAUCCCAUUUUAUCCUGAGACCUUGGAAAGAUCUUUGAUCCGUUUUUCACUUUUAACAGACUCUCGUGUGUUUGGGAACAGGGAUCAUGCACAGAACAUUUUCUCCUAAUGGGCCCAUUGUACUUUUCCCAAAGCUGCUGGAGUGUAAUCACACACACAUUACAAUUUAUUCCUUGGUUCCCACAGACCUUGUUUUUCUUCUUCCUCAGCUCUAGCUUUCCCAUGACACAGCACAAUCCUGGGCAUUGUGUCUGGUGGGGAACCACCCUGCCAUUUGCUGCCACCUCCCAGCAAGAAUUUACUUCUCCAUACACAAUCAUCUGAACAACACUCCAGCCUGAGCAUUCCUGAGGGGUAUUCCAGAGGAUUUUAUUUUUAAAUUGUAUCCUUGGUGCUGAAGUAUUUGGGUGUUUGUGCUGCUGUGCCCUGAGGCUUGCCACGUAUUUUUCCUGCUUGUCCAAUGGCAAAGAGCGUUAUGCCAAGCAGCACAGUCCUGCCCCCUGCCCUCCAUAGCUCCAGACAGACUAUUUUCCAUUCCUUCCAGCAUCACUGGUUUUGGAUAACAACUGGAGAAGAUCCUCUUGUGGAGGGAAGAGGAUGAGCACACCACUAACACAGGAUUGCUUGUCAAGUCAGCUCCCAGGGAGGAGCAGGUCUUCUGGAGUCUAAGCCUAAUUCCUGACAGCCAAUAACCCAAAUCACCUGGGCCAAGUGUCCUGGUUUAACCCCAGCUAACCACCAAGUACCACACAGCUGCUUGCUCAUUUCUCCCCCAGUGGAAUGGGGAGGAGAAUCAGGGAAAAAAAGUAAAAAACCAUGAACUCGUGGGCUGAGAUAAGAGCAGUUUAAUAAUUGAUAGUAGUAUAUUACCAAUGGAGAGAGAAACAAACCCCGAGGGAAACAAGGGAGGCACAACACAAAAACCUUCUCAACAGGCAAGUGAGGGGAUGCUAAGGGAGAAGAGUUAGGAAGCCUGGAGGAAAAACAUGGAUCCACACCCAUGUGCCUACCUUUAAAGAUGAAUUUAAGGUUUGAAAGACCAUGAACAGUCUGAACAGUCACGCCCUGCCUCUUCUGAAGCUGUUUUAAGACUAAAAUCACCUUGGAAAUUGUUCUCCAGAUUCGAAAGAAAACAGUUCCAUUAACAGUGAUGCUUUCAGCUCCAAGGAGUAUUUUCAAGAGGAAGAUCUGAAAUUAACUGGAACAUGAAAUCUAUAUGAAGUUUACAAAAUACAAAAGGAUUGUUUCUAAGCCAGUUUGCAAUACAGAAUCUCAGUCUGGCUGUGAUGCAUCUGUGCAGCACUUCAGUGAAGUUUUCCUCUGGGAGCAUUAGCCUUGGCAAUGACAUUAAAAAUCCCCUCUGAGAAAACUUUGUAAUGGGAGCAUUUUUAUUUUCAUUCCCUUUAAAGCAGACCUGUGGCCAUUUCUGAAAUUCUGGUGAAGAUCCUCUCCCUAAAAAGGAGUUUCCCUUACCUGUUGCAAAUUUAGUGCUACUGAAACUCAGUAAAAUAUUUUUCAUAGAUGCAUUUAAAAUGCUGGGCAGUAUUUACUAGAUUGUGGUAACUACAAGACAACUACAUCUGAUAGCUGGGAACAUUUCAGACUAAAAAACCCCAAACUAGCACUGACUUCAGAGAAGCUGAGAAUACCCAGGGCUUGAACAUGUGCGAUGUUUGUCUUCCUGACAGGUGAGAGUUAUACAGGGAAACCUUCAUGAUUUGGGUCCAGUAAACAAAUCACAAACCCUUUUGCUUUUAGAGUAACAUAGAAGGUAAAUUUGGUCUUUUUAUUGACUUAUUUGCUCUAAAGGUUGCAGGCUGACACUGAGGAAGGGCAAUGACUCCAUGGCCAUGGAGCUGUCCUUCAGCAGAUACAUAAAAUGCAAUUAUUGCACAAUGGAGCUGCCCAGAUUUCCUGGUGGUGCUCAGGGCUUCAGGGCCAGGCUGUGCUGGACCCUGCAGUGCUCAGCCCCCCAGCCAUGCCCCUGCCAGGCUCUGCCUCCCACCUGAACUCAUCCCCUUGUGCUAGUCACAUAUGUCAAAGGCAUGAUUAGGGUUAUGCAGUUCACCUCUAAUGAAAAAAUAAAGGCAUAAAAGUGAAAAGUAAUGCAGCAAUAAAUUGCAGUCAUUUUAAAGGGCUCAUUCCCCUUCUCUUCUUCUCCUCUGGCUUUCCUCACACACAAUGCUUGGGAACACACAAAACCCAGAUGCUCCAAUCAACAUUAAUUGUUUUGACCAUGCUAAGUCUGCCACCAUCUUUGAAGCCUUUUGCAACUCCACUCCUUCAUUCUCAAGGAAGGAAUUUGCAUUUUUGGCUGCCAAAACCCCUCUCUUCUGGAGUCCUCUCAUUUGCCUACCACUGCUGUGGACUUGUGACUUCUCUACCUAUUUACCCAAUUCCAGCCCUAAGCCAACCAAUAAAUUGCAGAACUGCCACGUUUUCAGCUUGCAAGUGAUUUUGUAAAAGCCCUCAAAGAGUGCUUUUAUUUAACUUUUUAAAGUAAUUAUUUUAAAGAGUACUUGAAAGCUGGCACUGGUACGCAGUGUGUUCCCCUUCCUUGUACUCUGAGAUCUGUGUGGGCAUGUGACCUUGUGAAGAUUUGGGGUAAAUUUGCCACCACAGCUCCACAAAAGCUCUCCUGACUCCAGAGUACCUGAGAAGAGUGUUUAAAUCUCUGAAGGAUUUUGGUUUCCCCCCAUGGAACAGAACAACCAAAGGGAAUUUUAAGGCCUCACUCAGCAAAGCUGCCUCCAAAAAUGUCUCCAGCACUCCCCAGGUUAGGGGACACCCCAAUCUCCAGCUUUGCUGAGUAUCACUCAUGUCUUUAAUAACAGGCUUUAGGGUGAAAACAGAAGAAAAAAGGUGACAGGCAGUGGAUUUCCUUUCUCUGCUGGACCAAGGCCUGCUGACAAGCAAAGCCUGAACGUGCAUCCAUGGCUGGCUGCACUCUCCUCUGGGACACAGAAUUCAGCAGGCACUGCCCCUCCCUCUCCCUGAACUCCAGUGCCCAACAGGACUGAACUCCUCAGUGUCCCACUGCUCCUGGGAGUGCUGGUCACCUCCUCCUCCCUUCAUGAGCUCACAGAACAGCCAAUCUCAGUUUUCUGAGUGCCCAGCUCCUACUUCAAGUCACUUUUGGGAGGUGGAACACAUAAACUGGCUCUGUGACUGACACAUUCACUCCUAUAAUAAGAAGGAAAGUAAGAAUAGGCUAUAAAAAGGUUCUCACCUCUGAGAAUCCAAGCACUGGCUGCAUUUCUGUCUUCACUCACUCUGAACACGGGCAAGGAUUUUUCACUUACCCCAAAAACUCCUUGAUAAAGCAGCUCCAUCAGCACUGGACUCCCUGGACCCCUCUCAGCUCCCUGCACUGCAGUGCCAACCUGUGGCACUGAGAGCCAAGCAGAGCUUUUCCCAUCAGUGGAGCAAAGAUUAAAAACUGAGCUGGUUUUUGAUGCUCACCUUUGAAGCAGAAUUGGCCUGGCACUGGCAGAAUGAAAGAUUUCAGCCUAAAAUCAACGGAAAAUUCUGUUUCUCACUUUCUCCAACCACAAAGCUUCCUGGUAGUGACAGACACCCCAGGAUCCAGUCAGUAGGCAUUUAUAAAUGAGUGUGUCUGCACCCCCUUUUCCUCAGGAGGGCUUUUGGGGCUGGUUCUGCAGCAUCACAGGCCUCACUGAGCUAUGUGGGGUCUAAUGGGUUUCACAAUAACAGAACUGGGGAAAAAAUGCCAAGUAGCAGAAAAUUUACCUUCAACACAGAGGUAAUUUUUUAACUUCCUAGCCCUAGUGAUGGACAAGCAGCCUUCAGACUGCCCAGAAAGCCUGACUAUGUCAACUGAUGGAUUCCAUCAGCAUCCAGAGUAGGUUUAAAAGCUGUUUGUGUUUUCCACCCUCCUGCAGCCCUGUUCAUUCCAGCAGCAUCCUUCCCUGCAGCAGGCCUGAACACUUCCAGAACUCCCUACACGUUCUCUUUCUGUGCCCACUUCCUCACUAUUUUUUUUCCCCCUCUGCCUGUGUCAGCAGGACAAUUCCCAGACUCUGCAAGGAAAAGCAGUUCAGCACACUUGCAGCACAUUAGCACAGACAACUUCCUUGAUGAGUUGAUGCUGUUCAGGGAAUAGCUGGGGACUUAAGUGGCUCCAGUUGUUUGGUGAUAAAAAAUUACAUUAAAGAUGGCAAACAUCAAGGGAUGAUGGGAGAUCCCUUCCAACUCUACUGUGCCUGAGCAGCUGAGGGAGAGACCUGCAGUCACAAAGAGAAGUGAAAUUGUCACACAGGUGACAGCUCUAAAACAGGCUGAGAAGGAGGAGAAGGUGGUGCUCAUCACUGGGUAACAACAAUGGCAAAAUUAAACAUCUCAGAGAUGUCAGCUUGCAGCUGCCACAGCCAGAGCAGCAGCAUACCCAGCUGCAGCAGCUGCUCCACAUCUCCUCCACUGAACAAUUUAUCAGCAGGACAUGAGAAUAAUACUCACUGAGAUCCAGGACACAGAGCUCUACAAUGCAAAAGUUAGAAAACACAGUUAUAAAAUGACAGAAUUCAGCUGGGAUCCAGUUGUAAAAGGGAGACAGUUUCCAAAGCUCCUUCACUUUCAGCAUCACUGUGACAACCAACUACCCAAGGAAGGCCCUGAGCAAUGAAGAUUUUGAUCAGCAGGUAUCCUGCAGACUGUAAGGUUUGCCUGAGCUUUUCCAACACCCAGAACCACCCCUCCUCUGCCAUAUCGUGGAAAAUUACAUCCAUUUCUAUUGUACACAUUUUUAAUUAUUAUAAACCUAGACUGAUUUGAAUAUAUAUCCUGAUAUAUCAAUUUCAAGAGUCUCAGGUGACCAUUUCCGCAGUGUUCAAAUAAAUAUUAACUCCUGGUAGGCCCUCAAAGAGGCUGACUUAAAAUCAUGCUCUUCUGAACAUGCAAAUGCCUGUUGUGACAGCACUGAUUUAACACACAACUUCUCUCUCCCUUAAGACCCCCAAACAGCGUGCAAAAGAAGCCUCAUUUCCCAAAACCAUCCCUUAAGACAAACAAUUUAAGUGAUCUUUAGCCUGUUCUUCAAAAGCUUUGAACUAGCCCCAGUUCCUCCAAAAUUACCAACUUUUUCCUUUUUACCUUCUCUUCAUCACCUCCUGCCCAGCAACAGCCUACAGAAUCAAGAAAAUUUUACAGCUUCAAAAGGAAUUGUUAAAUCUUUGGUAAAAAAAACAGUUUGAGGAAAAUUUUUCUUGCUUCCCAUCUUGCUCACUUAAAGAAAACGGAGGCAAUCUUCUUGAUUUUGCAUUUUCUCUAUACGACUAGAUGUAAAAGACAUUGGCAAGUAAUAUUCAGCACUGGAACUGGGCCCAGUUAAACAUUUUGAGAAGAGCCCAUGGCAAUCCCCACUUGGAUCAACCACAGACAAUCUCCCUCCCUUUUAAUACACAACUUUAAAAAGCAGCUACCAUCCAUCUCUUGACACCAAUGGACUGAGCUGGUAACACUGUCAGGACAUUUAAUCAGAAAUGUUUACACUUGGUGCCUAAACACUGCCCCAAGAACAGCAGACCAUUUUAAAUUCUAGAGAUAAUUUUAUUUAAAAACCCCAAACCUUUAUAACUCACUAAGGUUGGUGCCAAACUUUACACUGGGACCAAGGUUUGCCAAACAACAGCAGCAGGGAUGUCAAGGAUGCCAAGCUAAGGACAUUUGAACAGCUCUGCUCAGUAUUGUGCUGUAAGAUAAAUUGAGCAAACUGUCCUUAGUGCACAGAAACCUCUAAUGAUCUGCCACAGUAGAUCAUUGCUUUAUUACCAGUAUUGAAAAUAAGUCAUGAACACAAAAGCAGCAAGAGAAGAAGUCAGACUGGCUGCAAUUAUUUCCCUCUCCCCUCCAUGUUCUCCAUGGAUACAGAGACCAAAGUGUGUAUGUGCCAUGUGAGAAUGUAAAUCACAUCAUACAUUUGAAAUUAAUUUUAAUUUAUGUACAGCAGUCACCGUCCAUGAAUGUACACAGUCCCUGCAGUUACAUUCUUUAUAAGGUUAAGUCUUCACUGUUCUCUACUGGAUUUUCUGAUGGAGAAACAGAAAGGAGAGGUGGAAUCAAGGAGUAAGGAAUGAUCACAGUCAUUAAAAAUUUGGGGACUUUGAGUAGUAAAUAUCAGAGAGUCUCUGUGAGGUUCCAGAAAUAAAUGGUGGCAACGUGUAUAUAUUGCAAUUUUAUUUCAUUCGCUCAAACAAAACGUUAGCAUGUAAGAAAUUUAAAAUGACACAAUAUGAUAAAAAUAGCAGAGAAUGAACUGAGAAACUAAAAAGAAGGUAAACCUAAAUGCAUGAAAAGUCAACAUUCAUUAGUGAACAGCUUCAGUCUUUGAUUGACACUUGGUAACUUUAAAACAAGGAACUGGAAAUCAUUGUGACUGUCUGAAGAGAUUUCAGCACCAGCACUAAGGGUUUUACAUUCAGUUGGUUUGCGGUUGACUCGGUAGCCACUCGUCUAUAGUGCAGGUUUAUCACAGGUCAGAUCACAGUGUUGAGGAAAGCAACGCCCUCCUGGCAUUAGGAAGGAUCCCUUAAACUGCCCUCAGCUUAAGACAUCCGUUGUACAAAAGCACAGAACCACCACAAUAUGGUUUUUAAAGGACUUAGUCAGCAAAGUAAUCGUAGCUUCUGCAGUUCAUUUUCAAUACUGAAAUCUCUGGAAACGGUGCAACUGUCAGUAGGUCAGGAAAUGUCUACAGUAAUCUUUAAUUCAAUCCAAUUUCCUGGAAAGAACCAGUUCUGCAGGUUGGGAUUACAGAAAGUAUGUAUGUAGAAGCAGCACAAAAAAGACAACAUCUGUUCCUUUUUCUUUUAAACAGAAAUCAUGUUAAUUGUAGACCAAGGCACAAAACGUUUAGUGCAUAAGCCAGUUCCUUGCACAAUCUAGAAGUUCAGCCUGUAAUUUUGGACCACUUAUAGCCAUCCAUGCUAUUCCACUAGGUAACUCCUGAACCCUCCUAGAAACGAAUCAAACGUGAUUUCUGACAAGGGUAAACAUC